UAUAACCUUGAGAUCAAGACCUGAGAUGAAAUCGAGUUAGACAAUCAACUGAGCCAUCCAGAACCUGCUGAUUUUACAAAUAUGGCAGCUAUGCCUCAGCAAAUUAUAAGCAAUAAUGAAUUAGUUAAUUUUCUUUAGUGAAAACUGCUAUGGUAAGAAAUAGAUUCAGAGAGAUGAAGUGACUUAAGAAGAUGAAACAUGAUUAAGAAAAAAAGAAGAAACUAACAUUAAUAGUGAACCUGAAAUACCAGGGAGUAGGCUGGACACUUAACUCACCUCAUCACAUUUAUUUCUGUUACUUAUAGAUGAAAAAAAAGGGAUAGUUACAUUAUAUUCACAUAGUUAAGGAAAAAUUUAGGCAGACUUGAGAGUCAAAUACUGGUCAGCUUGUCCCAAAGCAACAGAACCAAGCUUCUAAACAGAAUCAAGCUUCCCUUCCUCUCUCAGUGAACUUUCAACUAUAUCAUAUUGCCAAUCACUUAGGCAAAUGAAGGAUAAAUAAUUAUGCUUGUCAUUUUAAAAAUACACCAAUCUGAUAAACUUACCACAUGUUUGCCUUGGGCAUUUUUGCUUAAAAUGUAGGAACAUUCCAGAAGGAAUCCCAAACUGAGAUGUAUUCGAAUCCCUGUGUUCUUAUCCUGUCUCUUAAUCCUGUCUCUUAAUAUGUCAUCUAAAAGUUUGUAAAAUAUAAAAAUAAAAAGGCAGAUAAGUCAU